rnacentral:rRNA from 1 species
AGCGAACGCUGGCGGCAGGCCUAACACAUGCAAGUCGAACGAACUCUUCGGAGUUAGUGGCGGACGGGUGAGUAACACGUGGGAACGUGCCUUUUGGUUCGGAAUAACUCAGGGAAACUUAUGCUAAUACCGAAUGUGCCCUUCGGGGGAAAGAUUUAUCGCCAUUAGAGCGGCCCGCGUCUGAUUAGCUAGUUGGUGAGGUAACGGCUCACCAAGGCGACGAUCAGUAGCUGGUCUGAGAGGAUGACCAGCCACACUGGGACUGAGACACGGCCCAGACUCCUACGGAAGGCAGCAGUGGGGAAUCUUGCGCAAUGGGCGAAAGCCUGACGCAGCCAUGCCGCGUGAAUGAUGAAGGUCUUAGGAUUGUAAAAUUCUUUCACCGGGGACGAUAAUGACGGUACCCGGAGAAGAAGCCCCGGCUAACUUCGU